rnacentral:rRNA from 1 species
GACGAACGCUGUCGGCGUGCUUAACACAUGCAAGUCGAACGGAAAGGCCCUGCUUUUGUGGGGUGCUCGAGUGGCGAACGGGUGAGUAACACGUGAGUAACCUGCCCUUGACUUUGGGAUAACUUCAGGAAACUGGGGCUAAUACCGGAUAGGAGCUCCUGCUGCAUGGUGGGGGUUGGAAAGUUUCGGCGGUUGGGGAUGGACUCGCGGCUUAUCAGCUUGUUGGUGGGGUAGUGGCUUACCAAGGCUUUGACGGGUAGCCGGCCUGAGAGGGUGACCGGCCACAUUGGGACUGAGAUACGGCCCAGGCUCCUACGGGAGGCAGCAGUGGGGAAUAUUGCACAAUGGGCGGAAGCCUGAUGCAGCAACGCCGCGUGCGGGAUGACGGCCUUCGGGUUGUAAACCGCUUUCGCCUGUGACGAAGCGUGAGUGACGGUAAUGGGUAAAGAAGCACCGGCUAACUACGUGCCAGCAGCCGCGGUGAUACGUAGGGUGCGAGCGUUGUCCGGAUUUAUUGGGCGUAAAGGGCUCGUAGGUGGUUGAUCGCGUCGGAAGUGUAAUCUUGGGGCUUAACCCUGAGCGUGCUUUCGAUACGGGUUGACUUGAGGAAGGUAGGGGAGAAUGGAAUUCCUGGUGGAGCGGUGGAAUGCGCAGAUAUCAGGAGGAACACCAGUGGCGAAGGCGGUUCUCUGGGCCUUUCCUGACGCUGAGGAGCGAAAGCGUGGGGAGCGAACAGGCUUAGAUACCCUGGUAGUCCACGCUGUAAACGGUGGGUACUAGGUGUGGGGUCCAUUCCACGGGUUCCGUGCCGUAGCUAACGCUUUAAGUACCCCGCCUGGGGAGUACGGCCGCAAGGCUAAAACUCAAAGGAAUUGACGGGGCCCCGCACGAGCGGCGGAGCAUGCGGAUUAAUUCGAUGCAACGCGUAGAACCUUACCUGGGUUUGACAUGGAUCGGGAGUGCUCAGAGAUGGGUGUGCCUCUUUUGGGGUCGGUUCACAGGUGGUGCAUGCCUGUCGUCAGCUCGUGUCGUGAGAUGUUGGGUUAAGUCCCGCAACGAGCGCAACCCUUGUUCACUGUUGCCAGCACGUUAUGGUGGGGACUCAGUGGAGACCGCCGGGGUCAACUCGGAGGAAGGUGGGGAUGACGUCAAGUCAUCAUGCCCCUUAUGUCCAGGGCUUCACGCAUGCUACAAUGGCUGGUACAGAGAGUGGCGAGCCUGUGAGGGUGAGCGAAUCUCGGAAAGCCGGUCUCAGUUCGGAUUGGGGUCUGCAACUCGACCUCAUGAAGUCGGAGUCGCUAGUAAUCGCAGAUCAGCAACGCUGCGGUGAAUACGUUCCCGGGAC